AUUUACAUUUUUGCGUUUUCACGAUUGCAACAAUGCUCGAAACUCAGAACGUGCAACAUGAAGGCCACUCACUAUCUUGUUAACGAUUGUAGUGGCAGUUUUUCUCGCAGAAUGAAGUCGAUGGAAAAUGUAGACAACGGAAUGGAUAUGCUAUAAACAACCUUAUGACAUGCAGAUCACAACCGUGUACCUUUGCUAUUAUUCUCACCGCUUUUCCCCCUUACUACACACUUUGUACGAAAUCGGUCAACAGAAAAUUUAAUAUCAACUUGAAAACUAACAAAAGUUGUGUCAUACACGUUCAGUUUUCUAGUCCAGAAGUAAUAUCAUUAUAUAGAAGAAAUAACCAAAUAAAUACUAACGGAUGCCAAGCUUUAUCGGUGGUAAUACAAAAUAAUUGUUAACAAGAAAUAUCUGCAUUUUCCCUGGCGUAUUAAAAAAUAAGGUUUUCCUGUAGCUGUUUUAUCUUUUUUUUCUUAGUUGGAGUCUACAUGUUCUAAUAAAAUGACUUGAAAAGCAAA